CCUACGGGUGGCUGCAGUGGGGAAUUUUCCGCAAUGGGCGAAAGCCUGACGGAGCAAUACCGCGUGAGGGAUGAAGGCUUUUGGGUCGUAAACCUCUUUUAUUAGGGAAGAUUAAGACGGUACCUAAUGAAUAAGCAUCGGCUAACUCCGUGCCAGCAGCCGCGGUAAUACGGAGGAUGCAAGCGUUAUCCGGAAUGAUUGGGCGUAAAGCGUCCGCAGGCGGUUUUGUAAGUCUGCUGUCAAAGCGUAUAGCUUAACUAUAUACAGGCAGUGGA
rnacentral:rRNA from 1 species